GCAUCUUACUCAUCGUCAACAAAAGCCGGGUGGUAUUACCUCACCUACCUUCAAAUAAAAAAAAAAUUCCGCAUCCUUUUUUAUUUUGAUUUCUCUGCUAUCAAAUAGAGUCCGCCUCCAUACACAGAAGUUGUAACCAGAACAAAGGGCCCUCAUCCAAUGGCGACCCAACUCUCGCUAACCUUGCUCACCUUUUACACCAUGUUCGCUCUCCUUGCCUGGCCCGGCAUGGCGGGCAACGUCCUCUACUCCGAGUCGGGCGGCAAACUCCUUUCCGGCGAGAGCCUCACCUACAGGCAAUACUCUCUGGUCAUGCAGAAGGACUGCAAUCUAGUGGUCUACGAUGGCAACGAGCCCAUCUGGGCCAGCGGCACCUACGGCAAGGGAAGCAACUGCUUCCUCACCCUGGAGUCCAAUGGUGAGCUAAUCAUCCAUGGUUACCCUCUAUUUAUUCCAGUUAGCUCCCCUAUUUGGACUAGCGGCAGCACCUCGGUCGAUGGGAGCUACGUUCUCGUUCUCGAAUACGAUGGGGGCCUUCGUGUUUAUGGCCCGGUGAUAUGGUCGAUCCCCUCCCAAUCUGCCGAACUGAGGAGCGAUGGAUACGGUUGGCCUGCCGUGAACGACUCCGUGCUGUGGACGGGCGACGUCGCGCCCAUCGGAACCACCAUCGUGAACAGCGUCUACAAGUUGGCCUUGGAGGACAACUGCAACUUGACUUUGUCCGACACCAGCACCAAGAGGGUUCUGUGGUACACAAACACGAGCAACAAUCUGCGUGAUUGCUUCGUGACUCUGGGGGCCACCGGAGAGUUCAGUAUCAAGUACAUGGGAGGAGAGACGCUGUGGAGCAGCGGUGUGCAACCACAGUAUGGGGAAUAUGUCCUUGUGCUUUCACCGGAUGCUGAUCUUGACGUCUAUGGCCCGUCGAUUUGGACCGCGGAGAAGUCCGCGGUGGUGGCAGUGGCGGCGACUGCCGGUGACUCGGUUCCGAGUGGGGAGAAGAUCGUGAUGGUGAGCAAGGAGUGAGGGAGAGGCUCCUCUGGGGGAGAAAUAAUGCAGUCCUGUAUUAAAUAAACUAGGUGUGGUAUCCUUGUGUCGUGUUUCGAGGUUAACUUAUGCUGUGUAAUCCGGUGCUUGUGCUAUCUGCAUGCAUGCAAGGUGUUGUGCCUUUGAUCUUCCUGACAAUCUGAUGACAAAAGUGCGUAGGUACCCGCUAUGUAUGGCAAAGGUGUUACCACCUAUUUCUUACGGAUAUUUGGGCAAUAGUGAGAGGUGGAUGGUUAUGCAGACUAAGUAUGUAUAUUGCGAGGCCAACGGGCAGCAUAUCGGGUAGCAUCUUAUAUGGCUAAUCAUUCUGAAAGAUCCUGUAGCUGGGGAAGAGAAGGUUGUUCGGUGCAUUCUGGGACUUGCUAUCCUUUGAUUUCUUUAGAUGUAUUCAUAUCCACUAUGUUUGAUACAUCCGUUUCAGCAAAAAAAAAAAAGUGCAGGUAAAUCAAGCUUGCAGAAACUGAGGAAAUGAAAUCCGGUAUGAUCUAGUUUAAAAUUCUGGCGUAAAUCCAGUUAGAACUCUUCACUUCUGGAUGUUGUCUCAACCUAGGUGAAUAAAUGUUGCAUUUGAGUCGAAAGCUGUACUUGAACUCGAUGUGACUAGAUAUGAUCGAUCCCGGAUUCCCGGCCGACUGAUUUAGCCUGGCAUCAUGCUUCUCCCGAAACAUGACAUGCGGGCAACCAUCUGGUUCAAUUGCAAAAUGGACGGUCCGAUCAAAAGAGUUUUCAACUAAGAUGCCCUAACCAUAACGCGGGCCCAGUUUGGGGUGGGCAGAUGGACUUCCACCUGGCCCAGUCCUCUACAAAGUGUAGAGGCCCUAAUGGGAUGUCUCUAGUGGACGGGGUCUUACCUAAUUACAAGUGUCCUGUGGACCGCAAUGUUGGUGGUUCGCACUCUCGAAUUAUUUUGCAAACCAAGCCAUUUAUUUAUUCACGGAUUGUAAAGGACGAGCACACCAUCGUCCAUCAUAAGAAUGGCAUCCGAGAGACUUAACUGGGACAACCUGACCCAUCAGCACCCCAAUAUGUACCCUUUAGAGACAGAUCAGGGCAUGGGACCUAUGCAGAACACUGACGUGUCAAUCUCUUCUUGACUGCGUUCACCAAACCCGGGAGCGCAGAAAUUUGCGAAGGAAAUCAUGCCUUAAAUUGGAGGCCAAAAAAUUUUAAACAGACUUUAUUGCAUUUAGACUUGCGGUCCAAGCUUUAAACUCAUGCACCACCUAUCUAGGUCAAUUGGAACAAGAUUACAUCUUCCCCACAUUCAAUAUAAAAUUGGCUCCGUUUACUCCUUGGAGAGAAGGGGUCCAUGCUUGACUUAAGUUCUACUCAACCCUACUAGAUCCUGGUAUUUUUAGUGAAGGACCUAGAUGAUUGAUAGAGUUGUGAAUCACUAGGCUUGGUUCUAAUAUCACCUAUCAUGGAUUUGCUAGCUCAAAAGCUCAAGCUAUCGGAUUGAGGACCGCUUCCAUGUGGGACUACGACAGAGCAAUAUAUCUCAAUAGUAUCUAGUAUGCACAAGGCCCACAAAGAAUUCCCAUCAAUAUAUAGCGAAACAUUUUUGAAAUUACCUUUUUGAUUGAGUAUUGCAAUUUUAUGACCAUUAACAUAUAUUACAAACAUAUGAUGAACUAAUGGUGAACUAUCACCUUUUUCAAAUAAAUAAACAAGUAAAUAAAUAAAUAAAUAAAAUCGUGGGGCUAGGAAUAUAUGGUGAACGCUACUUGUAUACAAUACUAUAGAUUAGUUUUAUUAUUCUGCUUUUUUCUAGCCAAAUAUCAAAAUGUAUAAAUUUAUUGGGACGAAAACUCCAAAUGAAACUCCUUAAUGCAUACGAGGAGAAAAGGGAUGAGAGUACGGACAUGGGAAUAAAGGUGUAUCGUUCCAUUUUCUUUGAUUUUCAAAAAGAGUUUGGAUCCUCUGCAAUGUGCGACUAGCACCGCAGAAUAUAGUACAAUAUGGAUGGCCAUCACAUCAUCUAAUCAAAGAGACGGAUGGCUAUCAAAUAGGGCAGGCAUUGCAUGCCAUACAUGGAAUAUCGCAUGCCAUAUACACACCCUAUUUAUCAGCUCUCCAUUUUCAUGAUUGGACGACAUGGUGGCCAUCCAGCUGUGCCUCACUCUAUAGUGCAAAUCAUGCACCACAGAAGAUUCUUGGUCUUUCUCCAAACCCCUUGCUAGAUUCAGUUCAAACAAAGACGUCAACAAUCCAAGCCUGCAUGUAUGUGUGUAGACAAACUUAUAAGGGUAAAAUUAUAAGUUAAAUAUAUAAUAAAAUGAGGGCAUAUACAUAAAUACUGAUUUUAACUGAUAAAUAUGCAACAGUCCAAGCCUGUAUGUAUGUGUGUAGACAAACACACAUGCAUGUACUUUUACUAUCUAUUUAGAAAGCUCAAGCUUAUAAUUGGGUUUCAUGACUUAGGAACAAGUUCCUUGCAAUUAGGUCCGACAAAUUUAUUCUGUAUUUUGACAUGCGGGCUAUGUACUCAGUAUUUAUUGUUGCAUGGCUGUCCAAACAUUAAGAAGCCCUUCUAUUGUUUAUUCUAGAUUUACUGAUAUGCACGUCGUGAAAUUAAAGAACAAAAUUUAAUAUAUUACAUUGUUACAAUAAUUGUUUAGUACGUUACUAAUUUAUUUAUUUUUGGUACAACAACAGUUCAUACAGCUCGCGUUAGAGUAUGGCCAAUCGAGUCCAAAAAAAGAAAAUGGCAUAAACAAGAAGAGGUACUACAUGACACGUCCAUAGAACCGCUCCGGAGUGUCGAGCAACAAAUGAGCUGACCCAGUCAGUGAUCCGGUUCACUUUCCGAAACACAUGAUCAGCCUGGAAGGAGUCCAAAUCACUCGCCAGUCCGCAAAUGUCACAAAGCAACGGUUGCCCACACCCAUGUCGAUCCUCUCCUCGUAUCCAACCGAUCAUUGCGGCAAAGUUCUCCUCCAGGCACACUCUACUAGCAUCGAGCACAUACCUGACGAAGGUAAUACCCUCCCAAGCUGCCUGAAGCUCUACCUCAAUGGCAGUCAUGCGAUCAAUGCACCGUCCUCCAGCAGCAACCAGUCUGGAGUUCUGGUCCUGGAUCAUGAAGCCCAUGCCACUACUAGCACCAUCGGCGGUCGCACCACCAUCAGCCAGUAACUACCCAAAGGCCUCCCGGACCGCCACCUCACUCCAGUUGCCCUCUCCGGAAAUAAACAGGUCACAUGCCCUGCAUCCCGCCAACCUCGCCGAUUCAACCGGCAUCGGCAUAUGACGGAGCGGAAACUCGGUCACCCAUUUGUCCUCUAGCACAUCAGUGGAUUGCCUGUCGCCGAUGGCCCAUCUGGUCGCAGAAGGCAUCAACGGAGCCUGAGCAGAAAUCUUCCUCCAUAUAAAGGAACACCUGCACCGUGCCUUAACAUCUUCUGUCGCUGACACGCCACCAUACUUGACUCUAAGGAGGGAACACCACAAACUGUCAGGCUUUAGAAUAAAUCUGGCUACAUGUCUCGUCACUAGUAUCUCUUGUAUCGCCACCAAGGAAUGCACUUCUAAUCCGAGUCGCAAUGCCAUCUUUAGCAAGAGACAAAGUGCGUCGCGAAGAGGCUGUCGAGUUGCUCGAAGGAGUGGAUGGAAUAAGGCCGAAGCCCGGAGAACCAGAACCGAGCCAUUUUACAAAGGGUUGCUGGGAAUGCCUUGCAAAGCUUGGCAUUGGUGACUUCGUGCGGCUAGCAUCACGAGAGCCUUAAAGCUCUCGAGGUGGUCCAGAAGAUCUGAGGUGCCAUUGUACGACUCCACCAAGGACAUCAUGAAGUCAAACCGAAGUUGAGGUUGUUGUGUCUUCGGAGCCUAUCCUUGGAAAUCUGCUGGCCCAUCUUUUUGAUUCUUCAAUUGUGGUCGGCGUCCUACCGAGAUGAAGACUCCAUGCGACGAGGAGGCGAAAGGCUUAGAGCGGAGUUCUCACUGGAAUCGAGGCUUGAAGCAUGUUAUUUUCCAUCCCGACCGGGACUGCUCCGCUGGGUGCACCGACUCUGGGGGGACCGCUUCGAGUCCCAGCCUCGGUAAUGGUAGCUGACCAAUGGUAUGCCGUGUGCUAUCUAUUGAGAGUGGUGUCUAGGGUGACCGAAUUCCGGCUAGAUUGGCUCCAGUUGUGUCGGCACCUGUUGCAGGCUCUAGACCGCCGCAGUUAGCACCUACACCAAUUGGAUGAGCGCAGGUUGAACUGCUCAUUGUCCACAGGCGUGGCAAGUUGUUUCAGCGGAGUAGGAUUCGAGCUCUACAGUGACCCUUGGGUGGUUGGAGCACGACGUUGCAAAGUAUGCGAUACAUCACAGGCACCUUGUGACCUCAAGCCGAUCGUCUCUCCCUUUGAUGGAUAUUGGUGUUGCUGCGGUUUGCGAGGCCCUCUUAGCGCCAUUCUUUUGUCGCUGAAUCCGGACUGUGGUGGGAGAGCACCUUGAUCGACUCUAAGGUCGGCUGGAGGUAAGCUGAGGAGGCCGGAUGACACUUUGAGGGUCGGACUCCUCCGGAGAUUGCUUGCAAAAGAGUCCGCUUGCUGAAGAAUUUUUUGUGGGGAACUCUCCGAUGCCUAAGUCAGAAUAAUGAGGCAACAAAAUGGAAGGUGAAGGGUUUUAGCAGAGAGUGACUCUAUGAGUAAUAUUUCAUGCAUAGUAUGAGUAUAUUGCUUGUUAUUGCGUACCUAAGGUCCCUCGAACUGCCCCUUUGUAGGUCAUCGGCUGAUCGACUGCUCGAACGAGGUCGGAGUCGUCUGAGGUCGGCUUUUUCUGAGGUCAAGAAGGUAGGUCUGGCCUGAGGUCGAGGUACCUCAUACUUUCCCCAUCAAUUCAGAAAUGAGAAUAUAAGAUGCAAUAAGGUCUGUUGCUAGUAGACACUUUGCAUCCUAAACUUGAUUGGUCAUAAAAAUGCGUUCGCCCACGGUAGGCCCAAACUUGAUCUUAAGGAUGCGGUGGGUGAGGAUGGCGAUAAAGAAGGUACUGGCCACCCGGUUGAAGGGAUUAGGUAUCAUGGUGAAGAUAGCCAGCAGUGCGGAAGUAUAUCCAAGUUUUUCGACAAAAGCGUCCAACUUAUAUAAUAUGAAAUUUAGCCCGUGCGAAGGUCACUUGCGUUCCUAAUGGGGAACUUGGCACAUGUAUUGAACGUGCACUACCCUUAUGUUCACCAACAAACCCCUACUUCAAUCUCUAGCAUCUUUUCGUUUUUCCCGGUACGUUUCACUAUCUAGGUUUUAAAUAUAGAGUACCCAACCAACCCAUCCCGCUCUCGCCGAGACAAGCACCAAUGGCCUUUCCAACCUCGGUUCCUCUUCUCAUCCUUCUGCUCACCUUUGGCCUCCUCGGUCGGCCGGGCUCGGCCACCGACUUCGUCAUCUACUCCGAUCCCCCCACCGCUCUCCUGCCUGGCCAAAUGUUCCACUAUGACUUGACUCCCCAAGACAUCCCGUAUGGCCGGGCCUCGCUGGUCAUGAAGCCCGACUGCAACCUGGUCCUUUACUUCAAUGGAAGCAAAACCUGGGCCACCAACACCACCGGCCUGGGUGACAACUGCUACCUCACCAUAGACUCUCACGGCGAAGCCAUCGUUCAGCGCAACAUACACUACCCCGUGUGGCGAAGCAACAAAACGUCCGUCGUGGGGAGCUAUGCCUUCCUCUUGCAAUGGAAUGGAGAACUCGGCAUCUAUGGCCCGGCCAUAUGGUCGAGCUCUAACGAAGGAGAACUGAGCGAUCCAAAGCCUUCCAACAUCACCACGGACUACGUCUUCUAUUCCUACAGCGUGUUGCCCAUAGGAAAGAUACUUGAAUACAAGAAUUACAGGCUGGUCUUGCGUGAUGACUGCAACCUGGUGCUGCUCGACACCAACACCAACACCCAGGAUAUCAAAUGGCAGACCAACACUUACAGUCCCUUGCACGACUGCUUCAUCACCCUCGACCCCAACGGGGAGUUGUUCGUCAAGCAUAACCGCAGGGACAUUCUCUGGAGGUCCAAUGAAACAACUAAUUCGAAUUUCUCCGCACUUGUGCUUCGGUACGACGCAAAGCUUGUUAUCUAUGGCCCUCAGCUGUGGACGACCAAACCAUUGUGGUAGAUGUUUGGGCUUGUACUUUGAGAUGCUGGUGGGCUGUGAGACUAUCUUAGAAUGAAUAACUGUCUGUGGCUUAGUUUGCUCCAGACUGCGCACUUGGUUAUGCUUUGAGCUGCUCUUUAUUUUUACUACUAAGCACUUGUCGUUGUGUUUCAACCUUAAUUAGGAUGGCAUGCAUGGUUGUAAACUUGUGCUUUGAUUUUCUCUUAUCUCAUCUGGACUACCGCGAUCUUCCAUACCAUUGUAGCUUUGGAAGUUCAAGCAACUUUUGGUCAUAUGGAAAAAUUCUUUCUUGAAAGUUUUUCAUAAUCUCAUAUGGAAACAAACGCUAAGAUCGGAUAUCAACCUUCUAAGUUCAUCCAAGGAGAAUGAUGGAUUAACAUGCUGCGAAGCUGCAACGAAAAAAUCAACCCGUUAUGCCACUAUACCUAUGUUGGUACUGGUGAAGUAUACUUUAGGUGAAUGGAAUAUGAUGUAUUUCGAACUGCUGAGAUUCAUGAUGGUGCAUGAAUUAUUUCCCAGUGACCAAUGACAAGAUGCGAUGCCAUAUUUUUCUCGCAGAUAUCUCGAACUUCUAAUAUUUUGGGCAUGCGUUCUGCUUGCCAAGUCCCAACAUGUCCGGCUUAUGGUUGAAAGUAUACUAUAGUUCGGGAUUUGUCAGGUUUGGGCCGUUCAGUUUAUGUUGCAAAUUUGCUGAAUGCACAUCCAGUUAAUUAAUUUUGCUUUUCUUAUGUCUUUCCAUCGAGGGAGCAUCAAUAGGACUAAAGUGUAGUUUUCUUCUUGGCUAGGGGAGGAAGGAUGGAUCAGAGAGAGGAUGGAUUGAUCUUUGAUCUAUCCUCCUGUAUGUUUGGGUGAACAUGAAAGGACAAAUGGGAAUGAUUCUCUCCUUUAUUUUGUAUAAAUAAAAUGAAAGAGAGUUUGGAUGAUAUUUGUAUAAUAUUUUUACUAAACUAUCUUUUGAUAAUAAAGAGCGAAAAAAUGUUGAGAUUUUAUUCAAAAAAAAAGGAACAAUUUUGUCAACAUAGAAUCUCUUAUAUGCUCCAUCCAUCCUUCCUUUCAUGACCCAAGAUGGAUGGGCAAUUCUUUCUUUUCAUCUGUCCUCCCUCUCAUGACCCGAACCAAACACAGAGUAAGUGUAUAAUUUAGAAUGACAGAUUCUAGUAAAGCGAAGAUGAUUGUACGAGAAGAGCCAUUAAUUCAGAUAGUACUUCAGAGUUUCGGUUUAGAAAUUCCUACUGUCCAAGUUUUUGAUGUGCUUUCAUUUGUUGAGGCACAUGAUUACGUAGCGGUUCCUACUAACUACGAUGAGUGAUAACAGAAUUUAGUCAUCAAGUAUUUGCUGAUAUGGUAUCACCCUUAUCACUUGGAUAAGGGGGUGAGGAUUUGACUUCAUUUGAAAUCCAUUUUCUGGAAUCGAACGAUGUUUAGACCCUCCUAAUCUUGAAAAAGAAAAGAACAACGGUAUUCGGCAACUCUAUAAUGCGGCCUCAAUUUUAUUUUCGUUUUCUUGAUCUAUGGCACAUGUUAUAUUGGACAAUCAAGUGUACUGAAUAUUUCUAGCGGAAACAUACAUAUCGGAAGUUGUGCAGAUAUGGAGCUGGAUAUAUACAAAAUUGUGCUAUAAUUAUUAAACUCUGCUGCACGCUUAUCGGUGUGGGGGACCCUGCCCUCUUGUCGCGGGCAUCAAUGACAUGGACGCAGACUUGAAAGCUCUUAUUUUAAGCGUCAGGACAAUGAACAUGGCCAUGCGAUGAUGGCUUGCCACCUAGAGAUUCCACCUGGCCUUCUAAUGUGACAGGCUACAUUAUUAAGACUCCAUGCAUUUGCUCAAGCCUGAUCCAUGAGCCUUAUGAAACAUUAUUAUGCCAUCAUUUUUAGCACUUGGUGGAGAAAGUUACGUCUUCAACCGAUUCUGGUGCGAGGCAUGCGUGCGGCCACGUUUCAUGAAACCGGCAAGUUGUUAAACGUUGCUUCCACCAAGUGGUUGAUUGCAAUAAAGACGGAACGUUAAUAUUGCUCAAGAUAUUUAUUAGCUAUAUUUAAAAUGAAAGCGUACUGUCACUUCAUAACGUUUCAAAGUUCGUUGCAGUGUAGUACAUUUAUAUUUUUACAUGCAAAUGUUAAAGAGAGCAGUGAAGACGCGAGAAUCGGUCUGUUGAUUUGUUACUCGGUGUUCUAGGCUUUUACUAAAGGACUAGCUUGGUUCCCAAACCAAGAGUCAUAGACUUUAUUGUCAAGUGGAUUUAUAAUGGGCGUGCGCAUUGGACUCAGCUUGAGCACGUUUCCAGGAAUAUAAUAGCUCACGCAUGGAUCCCAAGAGCAAAUAUUGAGCUCUGAUCUUAUUUGAUAUUGGUUUUCCUGCACAGAAUGCAAUUGGACUAACUAAAAUGCUAAGGAAUUGGUAAAUUAGAUUAGAUUUUAUUGUUGGCUUCCUCUUCCCCAUCCUUCACGUGACAAAAGGAUAAAAGUUUGUACUCAAAUAAUAAUAUUUCUUUGUAUUUUAUAGCCUAGAAGACUGUUCACACCGGUCAUAAAUUAAGACAAAGAGAGAGAAAUGUAGCAUUAACUUUUUUUUUUCAAAAUGAUCCCUAACUUUUUAUCAGAACGUAAAGUUGCCAUUCUAAUUAAGUCACGCUUUCUAUUUAACUUGCAAAACUGCUAAUAGAAGGGAUUAGACAAAUCUAGUUAUAGAUAUAAAUUAAAAAAUAUUAAUUUUUUUUUAAUGUAAUGGAUCCAGACAGUUCACGGUGCUACGUGAGGUAAGCAUCUGGGCCUCGCGUUCUUAAAUUUUCGGCCAGUCACGUGUUCCAAUGGGCACGGAAAAAAUUAAUGGGAUCAUAGAAAUUUGAAUUUUAAGUGGUUACUGUUUCACCACGUGAACUAAGACCCUGUCCUUUAGCAAAAAAAAAAACUAAGACCCUGUCGAGAAACACGUUGAUUGAGACUAAUGACAGUGACAGCGUUCGAGUUAAACCACUAUCGUCAGCAAGAGCCGGGUGGUAUUACUUCACCUACUAUCAAAUAAUAAAAAAACAAAAAUCUGCAUCCUUUUUUAUCUGAUUUCUGUGCUAUCAAAUAAAGUCUGCCUCUCUGUACGCACACAAAUAUAUAUAUAUAUAUAUAUAGAAAGAGAAAGGAAGAAACAUAUAUACAUAUACAUAUAUGCGUAUGUACAUAUAGGCAUACUUACAUAUGUACGUGCAUGCAUAAAUUCAAGUCAGAUUGAUAGAGAAAAUAUACAAAUCAAAUUGAUCACACACUCAAUGAUCUAAUAUUAAGUCAAUUAGUAAGUAGGAGAGUGGGAAGUUCGUAAAAAAAUGAAAUGUAUGAGGGAAAGGGGGUAAAAAUGGUGAGAGUGAAUACGGGUGCAAAUGAGCCGAACGGCUUGUGAGCUCUUUAAGCUGGACUCGGAUCGAGUCCAAGAUUGGCUCAACUCGACUGAUUUGAGCUUGAGUAGCUUGAAUAAUUUUUCGAAUCGAGCUCGAGUAGCAAAAUACUCGGCUCGUAGACUUGUUAGUCUAGUCGAGUAUAUAUAUAUUUAAUAAUAUUAUAUUAUAUUUUGUUUUAAUUAUAUUUUUUUAAUUAUGAUUAAUGCUCGAAUUCGAGUUUAGACUUGAGCUUGAGUAUGGCACAAUUGACAUUCGAGUGAAGCCGAUAUCAAGUAUUGCUUUCUAAAGCUUGAAUAUUAAGCUUCAAUCGAUAUCGAGCCGAAUUUUGAGCUCGAAUAGUUUAAAUCGAGUUCAACUCAAGCUUGUAGCUAUUCAAUUCAACUAAACUGGGUUGCAACCCCAAAAGAAAUAUGAGCGAGCGGUUGGGUUGAAUUCCCACCCUUUCUCGUACUCUACUGGUUGGGAGCGGGAUCAAAUCCCUCUCCCAUCCAAAAAACCAAGGAUGAAUGGAACCCGGCCCCACUUUUUCUAGCCUCCAAAUCCAACAACGGGCUUGGUUGUUCGUGAAGAGUAUAUUUCAAUAAUUUAAAGUUGAAAUCAGUAAACUGAAAAUUUUCUUUGUCAGUUGUCAUCUCUUGUUUCUAUCGAUUCUAGACGUUCUAUUGUUUCAUAUUUGUAGAAGAGCGCACCCUAAGAUAUGGAGCCGGAUAACAUAAACAUUGCCUUGCGAUGGUAACAUGCCACGGGCAUCAAUGACAUGGACACAGGCUUCAAAGCUCUUAUUUUAAGUGACAGGAAUAUAAAUGUUGCCUUGCAAUUGUAGCAUGCCGCCUAGAGAUUCCACACGGGUUGCAUGUGACUUCCGGAUGGAUACGAAGUGUACGAGGCAUGCGUGCCGGCACGUUUAUGUUUCAUAAAUCCGGCAAGUUGUUGAAAGUUUGCGUCCACCGAGUCAUUGUCGGAAACAUGAAUAUUGUUCAAGAUAUUUAUUAGCUAUAUUUAAAAUGAAAACGUAUUGUCACUUCAUAACGUUUCCAAGUUCGUUGCAGUGUAGUACUUUUUAUAUUUUUGCAUGUGCAGAGAGCAGUGAAGACGAGAGAAUCGGCCUGUUGAUUCGAUACUCGGUGUUCUAGGCUUUUAAUAAAGGACUGGCUUGGUUCCCAAACCAAGUGUCAAAAGACUUUAUUGUCCGAGUGGAUUUAUAAUGGGCUUGCACAUUGGACCCAGCUUGAGCACGCUUCGAGGAAUACAAUAGCUCAGCGUGGAUCCCAGGAGCAAAUUAUAUUGAGCUCCGAUCGGAUUAGGUAUUGGUUUUACUGCACAGAAUGCAAUUGGACUAACCAAAAAGCUAAGAAAUUGGUAAAUUAGAUUAGAUUUUAUCGUUAGCUUCCUCUUCUCCAUCCUUCACCUGACAAAAGGAUAAGAGUUUGGACUAAAAUAAUAACAUUUCUUUGACACUGGCUGUAAGAAGGGGACAGAAAUAUCCGAUUUUUUCAUAGAUCUACCAUUAUUAGGAGGCAGAGGAGUAUGAUUCGGUCCAUGCGGGAUGGGGCAGGAUCAUGAGUGGAGGAUGAGAGCCCGAUCAGGCACGUAUUGGUUGACUUUUUUCGGUCGAGAUGGACUGAGAAAGAGGGGUCGGAUGGCGGGGAUGUCUUCCUACGUCCGGAUACUGUAGUGGGGACGUCGGAGAACGUUGCCCUGAUCGAGGAGGUGAUGGAGGCAGAGAUCAGGGAGGCGGUCUGGGCUUUGAGGGAGGACAGAGCACUAGGGCCUAAUGAGUUCUCCUCUUUUUUCUUCAAGAGAUACUGGGGUAUUGUUGGGAGAGUGGUGGUGGAGGUGGUUCAGUUAUUCUUCCAGUCAGCGGUUAUGGCAGAUGACUGAAAGGCGACCUUUGUCACCCUGAUCCUGAAACGGCGUGACACAGCGGAGCCCAGCCAUUACAGAUUUAUCAAUCUUUGCAUCACCCUGUACAAGGUGGUGGCAAAGAUAUUGGUUGGCAGAAUGCAGCCCCUCCUUCCUCGUCUUGUGUGUCCGGAGCAGGGGCGUUUGUCGGUGGCCGGAGUAUCACCGACAACGUCAUGAUAGCCCAGGAGAUGAUGUGGGACUUGCAGCGUGUUUUGAGACAUCAGAGUUACAUGGCCGUAAAGCUUGAUAUGGAAAGAGUCUAUGACAGAGUCUGAUGGUGCUUCUUACAGAGGGCUUUGGUGAGCCUCGGCUUCCAUGAGACUUGGAUUUUCUAGAUCAUGGGGUGUGUGCAGGGGCCAUCCUUCUCCAUCUUGGUCAACGAUACGCCGUCACCAUUCUUCUGAUCGACAAUCGGCCUGCGCCAGAGUUGUUCCCUAUCCCCAUAUUUAUUUGUCAUUUGUGCUGAUGUUCUAUCCAUGCAUGUAGGGUGCGGGCGCUAGUGGCCUUUGUUCCGGCCCUCGGCGCCCAGCCGAUCUCUCACCUUUCUUUUUGUGGAUGACUGCCUCUUAUUGGCUAGAGCUUGGCCUAGGGAUGCCGUGGUUCUUCGGAGUGUCUUGGUGGAGUACUGCUCAGCAUCGGGCCAAAGGGUGAUCGUGCUUAGCCCGAAGACUGAGUUGCGGGUGUGAUAGGAGAUUAGAGGGAUGCUUGGCAUGAGGGAGCAGGAUGGGCCGUGGAGUUAUCUGGGAGUCCCUAUCACUGGGAGGAGGUUGCGGUCUCGGAUUGUCAGGAUAUGGUGCACUGGGUGCAGCAGUGGCUGGAGGGUUGGAGGACGGCAUCACUUUUCAUGAUGGAUAGGGUGACCCUAGUCAGGUCUGUGCUGUGUUCUAUGCCAGUCUAUUUGAUGUCCAAUACCAUCAUACCGAAGACGGUGUUGAGGAGUAUUAAGAGGCUUGCUCAAAGUUUUAUUUGAGGGACGCAGGGCGGCAGCCGUGGGGUGCACCUGGUGGAUUGGGAAUCAGUAUGCCAACCGACUAAGGCAGGGGGACUGGGUAUCCAGUCUGUACUGACUAGAAGGGAGGUGCUGAUUGCUUGGCAUACAGCCAGGGUCAUCUUAGAGCCGCAGUGUUUUUGGAGUCUAACGAUGGUCGCCCGGUAUGGCCCUAUUGGGAGUAGUGUGAUUCCAGAUGGGGGGCAGAGGGCAUCACUGAUUUUGCGUGAGAUAUGCAUGUAUGUGCCCAUGGUCAUAUCUAAAUGCAGGUGGCUGAUAGGUGAUAGCCAGAGAGUGGACGUGGUAGAGGAUGCCUGGGUGAAUGAGCUUCCGUUGAGGCGCUUGCCGAUCCUAGUCAGUGUUGAGGUUGGGGAGGGAUUCCGAGUGUGUGACCUGCUUCUUCUCGGUGGAGGGGGGGUGGGAUACCCACCAGAUCGGAUAGCUGUUCGGUGAGCUGCUUGUAGAGAGGAUUCAGUCGACCCCAGUUUCGGAGCAUCCUUGCCCGGAUGUCAGAGUUUGAGCAUAUCCUGCAGAUCUACAGUUAGGGUGGCUGACAUCUGCGACGUCGUCUAAGGUGGUGAGCAACGAGCGGUGGACUGUGGCAGGAUCUGGCGGUUUGGGUUGCACCUUAGGGUGACCUUAUUCCUUUGGAAGGUUGCUUAGGGUCGACUACCGACGAAGCUUCUACUAUUUGAGUGGGGUAUGAGUAUCCACCCCUAGUGCUCUGAGUGUCUGUCAGAUGAGUCGCUAGAUCAAGCUAUUUUUCAGUGUCACCAGGCUAGGAGGAUCUGGAGGCGAGCAGGGUUCUCCGUGGAGUUCUGGUGUCAUGCAUCAUCAGUUUUACAAGUGUUGGGACGUUUGGCGGGGGCCUCGCAGUUUAGACCGAAGGCAGUCAGGGCGACCUAUACAGCCUACUAGAUAUGGCUUGCGAAGAACGCAUGGACGUUCGGAGAGACGAGCCCCCCUCCGAGGGUGGUGGCGGAGUGGGCGAGGCUGCUAGCAGUAGAGGUCUCUCAGGUGGACCAUUGGGUUAGACCUUUGAUAGCUCAGGAUAUCUGGAGCUCUACCUUUGCUCGUAGAGUCCUCACCUUUCGAGUUUCCUCAAGGUCAACUUCGAUGGUUGCGUCCUGCAGGGAGGCGUGAGGGGAGAUGCAGGCUUUGUGGUUAGAGGCCUGGACUUUAGGGUGAUUGCUGCUGGGGAUUGCUAGUUGUUGAUACCUUGAUACUCGAGGCCGAGUUGAGAGCUGCGUGCGCUGAUCUUUGCAAUGUGCGGCAGACGAGGAUGGUCCUUUUGGAGGGCGACUUCGCGACGUUCAUUGGGUGGAUUCUGCGGAUUUCGGGGGGUCGACGACUACCAUCCGCUGCUGAGAAAUAUCUAUGCCAUGGUUCGUGAUGGGCUGGCCAUUCAGGCGAAGCAUGUAUUCUAGGAGGCCAAUGGGGCUGCCGAUUGGGUGGCUUCCUUUGCUCCCAACCAUUCGGGUGGACAUGUAUGGGUGGACGAGGUGGAGUUGCCUAGUGCUCUCUGAGAUGUAUUGUUUUUUAAUUUUCUUGGCUGUAUUCAUAUACGUUUCGUAUGAUACUUUUGUUUUAUUAAAAAAAAGAUUGUUGACACCGGUCAUAAAUUGAGACAGCGAGAGAAAAAUGUGGCAUUAACUAUUUUUUUUUUAAAAUGAUCCCUAACUUUUUAUCAUAACGUUAAGUUGCCGUUCUAAAUAAGUCACACCUUCUGUUCAACUUGCAAAAUUGCUAAUAGAAGAAAUUAGGCAAACCUUGUUAUAGAUAUAAAUUUAAAAAAUAUUAGAAUUUUUUGAAUGUACCGAAUCCAGACAGUCCACGGUGUUAGGUAAGGUAAGCAAGCAACUGGGCCUCGACGUCAACGGGCGUCCUUAAAUUUCGGCCGGUCACGUGUUCCAAUGGGCACGGCAAAAAUCAAAGGGAUCAUAGAAAUUUGAAUUUUAGGUGGUUACCGUUUCACCCCGUGAACUACGACUCUUUCGAGAAACACGUGGAUUGAGACUGAUGACAGUGACAGCGUUCGAGUUAAACUACCAUCGUCAGCGAAAGCCGGGUGGUAUUACCUCACGAACCAUCAAAUAAAAAAAAAAAUUACCGCAUCCUUUUUUAUUCUGAUUUCUCUGCUAUUAUAUAAAGUCUGCCUCUCUAUACAGAGAAGUUGUAAGCAGAACAAAGGGGCCUCAUUCAAUGGCGACCCAACUGUUCAGCGAAAAAAAAAAAAUGGCGACCCAACUCUCGCUAACCUUGCUCACCUUUUACACCAUGUUCGGGCUCCUUGCCCGGCCCGACGUGGAGGGCAACGUACUCUACUCCAAGUCGGGCGGCAAACUCCCUUCCGGCGAGAGCCUCACCUACAAGCAGUACUCUCUGGUCAUGCAGAAGGACUGCAAUCUCGUGGUAUACGAUGGCAACGAGCCCAUCUGGGCCAGCGGCACCUACGGCAAGGGAAGCAACUGCUUCCUCACCCUGGAGUCCAAUGGUGAGCUAAUCAUCCAUGGUUACUCUCUAUUUAUUCCAGUUAGCUUCCC
rnacentral:lncRNA from 1 species